GACAACCUACCAACCAAAAUAUAUUGAAUUACAUACAACUAGUAACUUGUGAAGCACAUCCAUCUAUUAAAUAAGGGGAUCCGUAAGACCAUCGAUUGCAUAGCCAAGUAUCCAUUGAAGUACCAUUAGACAUAUCCACUAUCAUUCUUUCCGGGGCAUCGCCAUCACAACAAAUUACUUGAUCAGAGUCUCUCAGAGUCCACAUAAGUGAUAUGCGAAUAGAACUUGUAUCCCUGACAGGCAACCAUCCUUCCCCAUAUGAAGUUUCAUCCACCAAGAAGGCAGACCCACAAUGCCCAUCUUCCUCUUCCAAGCCGGUUAGGUGAAUACUGUAGGACUUGACAACAUUAGGGAUUGCAAUUUGACAACAACCAAUUCCAAAACAGUUGUUUCUAUCAUUAGGUGUAACAGUGCCACAAGCCGCAGCACACGCUGCAAGCACACUCCCAUUCUCCAUCAAAGAAGCAGUACCACACCCCUCAAACACUAAUUUGUUGUUUUGGUUGGAAAAGUAAAAGGGGCUCCUGCCAAGAUCGAUGCUCAUUGUCUGUCUGCUAUUCCGAACUGGCUUUUGGCAAGAAGAUAUCCUCUGUGUUCUUGAGUGCAGGUAGAUAUGGUGUGGAGGAGUUGCAAUCAACUCUGUACCAUUCGUUAAUAGAACAAUUCGCACCGACUCCAAAUGGGUAGGGAAUCCUCACAUCCCCACAUGUAUGAUUGCACCCUGUCUUGGCAUACUUUUGUCUUUCUAUUCAAAGGAAAAAGAGUAGAUGGUAACUGAAAUAACUUCAUAUUCAUAUAAAAAAAUAUGAAAAAAAAAACAUGGAUUAUAGCAGAAAUAUAAGUUGGUGGCUAUUAUAUAACGGUGGUUUUGAUUGGAGGAACCUACAUAGAUAUAACAUGAGUCUACUCCGAAUAAACAAGUAAACACUAUAUAUUAGAAGAACGAAAUUCAUAAAUCUUAAGAAGCAAAUUAAACAAAUACUACAAUACUGUAUAUUGAAUUACAUACCAGGGUCCCUUCUGCAGUUAUCUACUAAAUAAGGGUUGUCUCCACUGCGGCAUUUUCGUGAAUUCACUAUAGUACCUUUAAACAUAUCCACUGCAAUAAUAACUGGGCUUUCUUUAUCACAACAAGUUACUUGCUCGGAAGCUGUUAGAGUCCACAGAAGUGAUACGGGAGUCAUAGAGGUAUUCUUUAAAGAAACUGGAUCAUAUGAAGUUGCAUCCACCAAGAAGGCAGACCCACAACCCCCAUUCGCCCCUUGCCCUUCCAAGCCGGUGAGUUGAAUGCUGUACGACUUGAGAAACUUAGGAAUUGUGGUUUCACAACAACUGAUUCCAUAACAGUUGUUUCUAUCGCUAUGUGUAACAUUCAAACAAGCCGUUGAACACCCUGUGACCACACUCCCAUUAUACAUCAUAGAAGCAACACCACACCCCUCAAAAACAAUCUUAUUGCGUAUUUUGGAAUACAAGAAGGGGCUCCCACCAAGAUCGAAGCUGGUGGCCUUGCUGCUAUUCAGAACAGAGUUUUGGCAACCAGAGUAGAGCGUUGGCAUGCUAACAGUGACUGUUUGAUUAUCUAAGCUAACACCCAAGACUUCCAUGUGGUUGAGUGCAGAUAGAUAGGGCGUCGAGGAUUUGCACUCAACGACGUACCAUGGGUUGACAGAACAAUUCAAACCGAUUCCAAAAGGGUAUGGAAUCAUCACGCCCCCGCAUGUAUCGUCGCACCCUGUCUUGGCAUAGGUUGAAACUGCAGUUGAUGUUGCUGCUAGUGAAAGGAAAAAGAGUAACUGCAGGUAAGCUUGAAAUAACUUCAUAUCUGUAAAGAUCGAAGAAGGGUUGGAUUAGAGCAAAAAAUGUAAGGAGGUUUAUAAUGGUGGGUAUAAUUGAAUGAAACUGCCGAGAAAUAGACCAGAGUGCACCGUGUCGACUUUUAACAUAUUUUUUCCACGUUUUAUAUAGAAUAGUUUUUGGUCUUCUAUGAUUUAGUCGUCCAAUGCUACAUUUAAUAUAAAAAUGUUUUUGGUCUU
rnacentral:lncRNA from 1 species